AUGGAUUGGUGUGAAGAUGUAUUAACAGCAGAAAUUUUGGCCCUGCGAUUUGGCCUAUUACUUGUUGCACAGAAGACGGGAAGCAAUCAUGUUGUUGUUAACUCCGUCAAUAUGGAAGUAAUUGAUACAAUGAAGAAUGGAGGACAUUUAGCGGGAGCGGCGGCGGCAGUGUUCGAUGAUUGUUAUUUUAUGGCUUGCGAUUUUCCGUGUAUUAGACUUGAACAUUGUAAUAGGGAAGCAAAUAAAGUGGCUGAUGAAUUUGCUAGGCUAGCUAAGUUUUUUGAGACUAGGGAUUGGUUCGAGGAGCCUAUGAGUGAUAUUGUAAAUCUUCUUAUCGACAAUGUAACCGUUAUUUCUAAUAAAUAA
rnacentral:rRNA from 1 species